rnacentral:rRNA from 1 species
UACGUAGGGUGCGAGCGUUAAUCGGAAUUACUGGGCGUAAAGCGUGCGCAGGCGGUUUUGUAAGCCAGAUGUGAAAUCCCCCGGGCUUAACCUGGGAAUGGCAUUUGGGACUGGCAAGGCUCGAGUGCCGGCAGAGGAGACUGGGAAUUCCUGGUGUAGCAGGUGAAAUGCGUAGAUAUCAGGAGGAACAGCCCGAUGGCGG